rnacentral:snRNA from 1 species
ACUUAUUUACAAUGGCUGC